rnacentral:rRNA from 1 species
AAUCAACGCUGGCGGCGUGCCUCAGACAUGCAAGUCGAACGAUUAAAGCUCUCUUCGGAGAGUGCAUAGAGUGGCGCACGGGUGAGUAACACGUAAGUAAUCUACCUUCGAGUGGGGAAUAACGUCCGGAAACGGGCGCUAAUACCGCAUAAUGCAGCGGCAUCGCAAGAUGACAGUUGUUAAAGGAGCAAUCCGCUUGAAGAGGAGCUUGCGGCAGAUUAGCUAGUUGGUAGGGUAAUGGCCUACCAAGGCUACGAUCUGUAACCGGUCUUAGAGGACGGUCGGUCACACUGACACUGAAUAACGGGUCAGACUCCUACGGGAGGCAGCAGUCGGGAAUUUUGGGCAAUGGGGGAAACCCUGACCCAGCAACGCCGCGUGAAGGAUGAAGUAUUUCGGUAUGUAAACUUCGAAAGAAUAGGAAGAAUUAAUGACGGUACUAUUUAUAAGGUCCGGCUAACUACGUGCCAGCAGCCGACGGUAAAGUCGAUAUCG